UUAUGGCUAUGAUGUUGAAAAACUACCUAUUUUCUGAGUGGGGUUCUCCACUUUGUUGAUAGAAACCAAUGGAUCCUUCUGAGCCAUG